rnacentral:rRNA from 1 species
UACGGGGGGGGCAAGCGUUGUUCGGAAUUACUGGGCGUAAAGGGCUCGUAGGCGGCCAACUAAGUCAGACGUGAAAUCCCUCGGCUUAACCGGGGAACUGCGUCUGAUACUGGAUGGCUUGAGUUUGGGAGAGGGACGCGGAAUUCCAGGUGUAGCGGUGAAAUGCGUAGAUAUCUGGAGGAACACCGGUGGCGAAGGCGGCGUCCUGGACCAACACUGACACUGAGGCGCGAAAGCUAGGGGAGCAAACGGG